UUUCAAGUCAGCUUCUUUUUAUGAAUUUGUGAUUUUCAAUCGCGGUGUGUUUGUAUUCUGCUUGAAGAUGAGAUUUCUUAGAUUUUGAUUCCCUUUAAUUAUUAACUUAAUUAGUGGACUGUGUGGGAACAUAAUCUUGCAGCAUAGCUUUGGAGCAGAGGGAGACUAUUGUCUACAGUGAUCAAACUUAAAUUAUAGGAGCUUGUUACGGUACCGACUCUGUAUGUAACACAGCAAAUGGGG
rnacentral:lncRNA from 1 species